AUUGCGCGCCCGAGGUGGAGCCACAGAGUGACGAAAUGCUUGAGGACGGGAGCGCAUGCAAGCCUGUGAGAACCGCAAGGAAGAGCACAUCCUAUAACGGCAAGCAACAUUGCAUUCUACGUCUCCACGAAUGCGGUGAAAAAAGGAAGAGUCGCUUCGCUCAUGUUUCCCUUGACGGCACACAAGAUCCCAAUUUCCCUGGAGAAUCGUGCGGAUUUUUUGCGGGGUGAAAGCGCAUCUUGAACACCAAGCAAGACUAGAUAACCCGCGCAGCGCCACCCAGACAGCAAGCCGUCCUUCGACCGCCUACAUAGAAGAGCUGCUUCUUCUUGUUUUGCUGGAAUAACUAGAAGCAAUCUCGCGUGCAUGGGCCUACAUAAUGUACCGUAUCGGUAUCUAUUACUUGUAGGAGAACGCAGAUAUGUACUCCUCAGCAAAGUGCCGCACCCCAUGGUCACGGAAAUUGUUCAAAGCUUGUACCGUGGACGGGCGAUGCCACUUAGCUUGUGUUUUUUGUGAUAUGGAGCUUUCUAGCACUCCAACGAAGAGAGAAACCUCCAUCCUGCGGCAAUCCUAAGCGCCUUUAUCUUGGUUUAGAGAUGACGAUGAAAUCGAGAUCCCACGGCCAUGCAAAGCUGUCAUCGUGGGCGUGAUCGUUAUCCUGAAACCAGUCACUAUCAUCAGAUUCUAAACUGUCUUCGAAUUCCCAAGAGUCUACGCCAAGCAGCGCGCCGUUUCCCCUGUCGAACCCUACCCGCGGAAGUAGGAGAUCCUCCAGCGUUUCCUUAGAGACAGAACCAUCACUUAGGUGACGCAGCUCGAAUUCCAGGGACCCGUGCUGCUGGAUCAGGCGAUGGCUCUGAAGGGAAACAAGUGAUUCCAGGAAAGCUGUGAGACGCUGCUGUUGCUCCAAGAGUUCCUGCACGUGGGUCGCUAGUACUACGAGUUCUGUCGGAUUACCAAAUGCCAGAUCAUGAACGGAAGAGCUACCUUUCUUUCUGUCAUGUUUCACCCCUUCGCUGUGACCGGCCACACCUUCCUCAGUUGUUCGAGCCCGACCUUGCCACUCUUCCAAACUCUGUUGGUCACUUCGCGAGCCGCGAGAAUCCGUCGCACCGAGGAGUACAUGUCGAGGAACUAAGCGGACGACACUGAGACUUGCGAGCUGUUUUUGAAGCGUAUCGACGGUCUGUUGGAGACUUGCCAAACCCCUGCGGAACUCCGUUUUUGCUUCUCGCAAGGAAUCUCUGUGGGUCUCCUCUUGUCCUUUAUUUCUCCCUCUCGAAGAGAGGAGGAGCAGUCGACGGUGCUCAAGUUCCUCGUAGCGCCUCCACUCUUCACCUAGCGAUGCCUGCUGGUCUUUAGCUCGACCUAAAAGCUUUUCAAGUGCCUCUUUGGUGGCUGUCUCAAUGCCACUGGCGACUGCCACAACUUCCCUUUGACGUUCGUGCAGCGCAGAACGUCUCGAAUCUGUAAGUGGGAGCUUUGGAGACGGGUUGAUCCAUUUGUGUUUCUGGAAGCCCUCAAUCUUCAGUUUGCCCUGUAUUCUUUUUUGUCCUCCUUUUGGCUGUGUCCCGAUGCCGCCCUGAUGGGAUUGACCAUCACCUGAUGUAAAUUGCUGUUCAGCAGCCUGCUUUUCAGUCAUUGAGAAGCCCUGCAGCUGUCGCGGCUUCUCUGAAGACAGGGACGGAUUCCGUUUAGACUGUCUGGCAACGUCAGAGUCUGUUGCCUGGUCCACAGGGUUUCUGAAUUUUCCCUCUAAACCGGUAGCUCUGCGCUUGUCUCCCACUUUCUUCCCACUCUUUUCAUCCUGCGUCAAAGUCCCAACCACAUUAUGCUGCUCCUUGAUGGUUGACUCUCUUCCCAACUGCACCUCCGCUAACAUCUCAGGGAUAUGAGCAAGGCUUUUGGUCGAGAUGUUGGUGUACCAAAGUGGGUUAUCAACCACUGUAACGUGAGCAAGAACAAGAGAUGCAGUGUCAUCCGUCGUUGAUAACGGUGCAGAAUAUCGUGGCGACGAAUGAUUAAGGAACACGGGAGUGGCAUGCUCUGGUGAUGUUUGUGAAUCCAGAACUCUCCGAUUCGUUGGAGUGCCCGAAACAUCUAAGUGAGCAGCCG
rnacentral:lncRNA from 1 species